rnacentral:rRNA from 1 species
GAUGAACGCUGGCGGCGUGCCUAAUACAUGCAAGUCGAGCGGCCGGACGAGAAGCUCGUUCUUUUGCUGUUAGCGACUGGCGGGCGAGUAACAAGUAGAUCACAUUCUUCUUUUUCUUGGGUAAUUUCGUGAAGCAGGUGAUGAUACUGGCUAAUAUUUUCUACGGCUUGGUUCAAAAGUGCAUCGCAGUUUUCCUGUCUCUUUGAGCUGUUUCCGCUUUGGAUUAGCUAGUUGGUAAGGUAACGGCAUACCAAGGCAACGAUGCAUAGCCGAGCUGAGAGGGUGAUCGGCCACACUGGAACUGAGACACGGUCCAGACUCCUACGGGAGGCAGCAGUAGGGAAUCUUGCACAAUGGGCGAAAGCCUGACCGAGCAGUGCCGCGUGAGUGAUGAAGGUCUUCGGAUCGUAAAGCUCUGUUAUUAGGGAAGAAAAGAAGUGUAAGUAACUGCGCAUAUCCUGACGGUACCUAAUCAGAAAGCCACGGCUAACUACGUG